rnacentral:rRNA from 1 species
AUUGAACGCUGGCGGCAGGCCUAACACAUGCAAGUCGAGCGGAGCGCCGGACGGGUGAGUGAUGCCUAGGAAUCUGCAUGGUGGUUGGGGAUGACGUCCGGAACCGGGAGCUAAUGCCACAUCCUAUCAGCUGAGCCUAGGUCGGAGUGGGUAGUUGGAGGGGUAAAGGCAUACCAAGGCGAAGAUCCGUACCUGGUCUGAGUGGAUGAUCAGUCACACUGGAACUGAGACACGGCCCAGACUCCUACGGGAGGCAGCAGUGGGGAAUAUUGGACAAUGGGCGCAAGCCUGAUCCAGCCAUGCCGCGUGUGUGAAGAAGGCCUUCGGAUUGUAAAGCACUUUAAGUUGGGAGGCGUUACCAACAGAAUAAGCACCGGCUAACUUCGUGCCAGCAGCCGCGGUAAUUC